UUGGAGUUUUACAUCACAAAUAUACAUGAUCUGUUGGAGUUGGCUCUUUCUUGAAUAUGUAAAAAACACUUUUUGAUGAUGUAAACUAUACAACAUCUAGUUUUACAUCUUCAAAGUUGCAUCAUCUAUUGGAAAUGCUCUAAGUCAGUUACUGCAGACGCCAAAGUACUAACAAAAACAUGUACAAAAAUUCAUGCCAAAUCACAUGUCACUAGAUCACAACUAUUGCCGCCCCCACCAAACCAAAGGAAGCCCACGCGCACGAUGGCCAAGCACUCCAAAUUAGGCGAGGCAUGGCUGUCGAAAUAGCGAUCCCCGAAGGCCAGACGCACAUACAGGUCGAAAGCGUACGGCCAAAAUCUGCGUCAGCACUGCCUGCUGCUUUCUGGCAUGAUCAUUUCGGUGAUGAGUGACAAGGCAGCUUUGGAGAAAGCUACUUUGCACACACGCGCAGCAAGGAACACAAGGUACACAACACAGCUUGGGCAGUGCGAUUUCCAGCGAGCAGAAAACGCGUGCUCAAACUGAUUCCCGUACCUGCACUGCACAAAACUUUCAUUUUUCUGAUUUUUUCCUUCAAAAUUUUCAGAUGAUAAGAACAAAGAGAAGAAGAUCCAUGGAUAUACUUGCCUGAAAUGUAUCGGCGA
rnacentral:lncRNA from 1 species